UUCCUUCCUUCCUUCCUUCCUUCCUCCCUUCCUCCCUUCCUCCCUCCCUUCCUCCCUUCCUUCCUCCCUCUCUCCCUUCUUUCCUUCCUUCCUUCCUUCCUUCCUUCCUUCCUUCCUUCCUUCCUUCCAUUUAAGGUGAACAAGUUUCAUGUAUGGCAUAUAUACAGAUUUAGGAACAUAGCGAUACUCCUCACCUCUUGCCCAUGCUCCUACUCUUCCUCCUCCUUCCUCUCUUAUUCCCUCUCUUAGUUUUUACAAUGAUCUACUUUCAGUUUACUUUAUAUUCAUACAAUCAACACUACACUAAGUGAAGAGUGCAACACACAGUAAGAAAAAACACUGUUCCUCAACAGUAGAGACAGGCUAUAAACAAUCAUCUUUUCUUAAAAUGUCGAUUUCACUCUAAUAUAUUACAUUUUAGAUACUCUAUUGGUUACCACAGAUCAGUGAAAACAUAUGGUAUUUGUCUUUUGGGGACUGGAUUAUUUCACUAAGUAUAAUGGUUUCCAGUUGCAUUGUUUUGUUGCAAAAGACAGGGUUUCAUUCUUUUCUUAUGGUUGAUUAUAUAUCCAUCUUUCUUUAUAUCUAUCUAUACCACGAUUUCUUUAUCCAGUCAUCAGUUGAUGGACAUCUGGUUUGAUUCUGUACCUUAGCCAUUGUGAAUUGAGCUGCAAUAAACAUGGGGGGAAACUGAGGCUCGAGAUACAUGGGAAAAGCUUAACCCAAAGUCAUUUUUCUAAAACAAAUAACAUACUGAUGGCUAGUCAAAAGAAGUGAAGCUUAAGUGAUCCCUUUCAGUAUUAAACAUAUGCUUGUACUCUCUGCCUCUACUAUGGCAGUCAUGCUGGUUCUCUUCAUUGUGGGGAGAAGGUUGUGGGGAAGGCCUAAAUGAAUGGAUCAAUGGGCAUGUAAGGAACAUUAGGUAGAGGAUAUUAAAAAGAAAGUAUCUCUCUGAUUGCUGGCUGUCUCAGGAAUCAAGUCCCUACAGGAAAAAGAAGGUUUAUCUGCUGUGAAUGAAAAAUGGGACCUGGAUCUUGGCUCUGUCUCAGGAGUGAGUCAUUAGGCCACCUUUUCCACUUCAUCUCACCAGAAUUCUAGAGUUUGCUGCUCAUGAAGGCUUUGCAUUUUCUGCCUCAUUUGUGACCUCCUUACCCCAUGAAAAUUUUGGUAGAAAAUGUGACUCUUGGCUGUGAUGCGUGUAUUGUCUCCAGAUAUUGGAAAGAGGGAAGUGUCUGAGAGGUGUGCAUUACUAGUAUUGUGGAAGAAAUGGGGUGAUAGAUGAUGCAAUCUUUUCCAUCUUGGAUUCUCUGAAACUUCCUGAUGGAUACAUUCCUCAAAUCCAUGAUGUUGUGAAUGCUGUCAUAGUGGAGACCAUUCAUUCAGGAUAUGUUUGGAGAGCAGUGUCUAUCAGCCCUGUGGCAACAGUGUAAAAACACAACCUGUUUAUUCUCUGUGCAUCCUUUCUUCCAUGGGUAGUACAGGGUCCUAUGCAAAUGUGUUUGGAAAAAAAAAUAAAUUAGUAAACCUUAGUAACAAUUUCUUAUACAGUUUUUCAAAUCCUGAAUAUGUUGGAUAAGUGAAUUGUAUGUUUUGAAAAUGUUCGUCAUUUUUCAU